UACGGAGGAUGCAAGCGUUAUCCGGAAUGAUUGGGCGUAAAGCGUCCGCAGGUGGCAGUGCAAGUCUGCUGUCAAAGACUGGGGCUCAACCCUGGGCAGGCGGUGGAAACUGCACAGCUGGAGUGCGGUAGGGGCAGAGGGAAUUCCCAGUGUAGCGGUGAAAUGCGUAGAGAUUGGGAAGAACACCGGUGGCGAAAGCGCUCUGCUAGGCCGUAACUGACACUGAGGGACGAAAGCUAGGGGAGCGAAUGGG
rnacentral:rRNA from 1 species